rnacentral:rRNA from 1 species
GACGAACGCUGGCGGCGUGCCUAAUACAUGCAAGUCGAACGCAUUUUCUUUCACCGUAGCUUGCUACACCGAAAGAAAAUGAGUGGCGAACGGGUGAGUAACACGUGGGUAACCUGCCCAUCAGCGGGGGAUAACACUUGGAAACAGGUGCUAAUACCGCAUAAUUCCAUUUACCGCAUGGUAGAUGGGUGAAAGGCGCUUUUGCGUCACUGAUGGAUGGACCCGCGGUGCAUUAGCUAGUUGGUGGGGUAACGGCCUACCAAGGCUGCGAUGCAUAGCCGACCUGGGAGGGUGAUCGGCCACACUGGGACUGAGACACGGCCCAGACUCCUACGGGAGGCAGCAGUAGGGAAUCUUCGGCAAUGGACGCAAGUCUGACCGAGCAACGCCGCGUGAGUGAAGAAGGGUUUCGGAUCGUAAAACUCUGUUGUUAGAGAAGAACAAGGAUGAGAGUGGAAAGUUCAUCCCUUGACGGUAUCUAACCAGAAAGCCACGGCUAACUACGUG